AAGUGGAAAAGGAUGUGGAGAUGCACAGACAACUAGGAGGUUGGCUUAGAAGCAGCCAUCCUUUAAAGAGUGCGUAAUAGCUCACUAGUCGAGUGACUCUGCGCCGAAAAUGUACCGGGGCUAAACGGACCGCCGAAGCUGCGGAUUGACUUUAGAGUCAGUGGUAGGAGAGCGUUCUAACAGCGGUGAAGCAGUACCGGAAGGAGCUGUGGAGCGGUUAGAAGUGAGAAUGCCGGUGUGAGUAGCGAAAGAUAGGUGAGAAUCCUAUCCAUCGAAAGCCUAAGGUUUCCAGGGGAAGGCUCGUCCGCCCUGGGUAAGUCGGGACCUAAGGUGAGGCCGAAAGGCGUAGCCGAUGGACAACAGGUUGAUAUUCCUGUACCACUUAUUAAACUGAUGGAGUGACGGAGAAGGCUAAGUUGAGCGUGUGAUUGGAUUCACGUGUAAGCAGUGAGGUGGUCAUGUAGGCAAAUCCGCAUGGCAUAACAUUGAGCUGUGAUGCCGAAGCCGAAUGGCGAAGUCAACUGACGUCACGCUUCCAAGAAAAGCUUCUAGGGUUAAUUUAAUAAGUGCCCGUACCGAUAACCGACACAGGUAGGCGAGGAGAGAAUCCUAAGAUGAGCGAGAGAACUCUUGUUAAGGAACUCGGCAAAAUGACCCCGUAACUUCGGGAGAAGGGGUGCUUGUGAAAGCAAGCCGCAGUGAAUAGGCCCAGGCGACUGUUUAUCAAAAACACAGGUCUCUGCUAAACCGCAAGGUGAUGUAUAGGGGCUGACGCCUGCCCGGUGCUGGAAGGUUAAGAGGAGAGGUUAGCGCAAGCGAAGCUUUGAAUUGAAGCCCCAGUAAACGGCGGCCGUAACUAUAACGGUCCUAAGGUAGCGAAAUUCCUUGUCGGGUAAGUUCCGACCCGCACGAAAGGCGUAACGAUCUGGGCGCUGUCUCAACAAGAGACUCGGUGAAAUCAUAGUACCUGUGAAGAUGCAGGUUACCCGCGACAGGACGGAAAGACCCCGUGGAGCUUUACUGUAGCUUGAUAUUGAGCACUGGUGGCACAUGUACAGGAUAGGUAGGAGACGAAGAAACCAGGACGCCAGUCUUGGUGGAGUCGCUGUUGGGAUACUACCCUUGUGUCACUGGGGUUCUAACCCGUGGCCCUUAUCGGGUCAGGGAACAGUGUCAGGUGGGCAGUUUGACUGGGGCGGUCGCCUCCCAAAGAGUAACGGAGGCGCCCAAAGGUUCCCUCAGAAUGGUUGGAAAUCAUUCGAAGAGUGUAAAGGCAGAAGGGAGCUUGACUGCGAGACCUACAAGUCGAGCAGGGACGAAAGUCGGGCUUAGUGAUCCGGCGGUACCGAAUGGAAGGGCCGUCGCUCAACGGAUAAAAGCUACCCCGGGGAUAACAGGCUGAUCUCCCCCAAGAGUUCACAUCGACGGGGAGGUUUGGCACCUCGAUGUCGGCUCAUCGCAUCCUGGGGCUGAAGUAG
rnacentral:rRNA from 1 species